UGAGGAAUAUUGCCCAAUGGGAGAAAUCCUGAAGCAGCAACGCCGCGUGGAGGAUGAAGGGUCUAUGACUUGUAAACUCCUGUAAAGAAGGAAAAAAUUCCCAUUUGAUGGGAGAUGAUGGUACUUCUGGAGUAAGCCCCGGCUAACUACGUGCCAGCAGCCGCGGUAAUACGUGGGUGGCAAGCGUUGUCCGGAUUUACUGGGUGUAAAGGGCGUGUAGACGGGACUUAAAGUCAGAUGUGAAAUACCGCAGCUCAACUGCGGGGCUGCAUUUGAAACUUAAGUUCUUGAGUGCAGGAGANGAAAGCGGAAUUCCUAGUGUAGCGGUGAAAUGCGUAGAUAUUAGGAGGAACACCGGUGGCGAAGGCGGCUUUCUGGACUGUAACUGACGUUGAGGCGCGAAAGCGUGGGUAGCAAAC
rnacentral:rRNA from 1 species